rnacentral:lncRNA from 1 species
CCACUGACAUGGCAGCCGCGUUGACACACCGCGCCUGGCUUCAAGGAGCCUGCACAUGUCACCGGCGGCCAGGGCGACACCCCGUCAGCUCCCCCGAGGUCUUCUCAACUCUGAUAGAGUCUGCAAUCCAACAUUGGUUUCAUCCUGGAUCCUCUUUGGCAGCCUUGGUAAUGAAGUUAGCUAAAUCAAUACAUGAAAUGAAAGAGGAGAAGACAGACAUAGAAGACUAGGCCACAUGAAGACUAAGGCAGAGAUUGGAUU